rnacentral:rRNA from 1 species
ACUCCUACGGGAGGCAGCAGUAGGGAAUCUUCCACAAUGGGCGCAAGCCUGAUGGAGCAACACCGCGUGAGUGAAGAAGGGUUUCGGCUCGUAAAGCUCUGUUGUUAAAGAAGAACACGUAUGAGAGUAACUGUUCAUACGUUGACGGUAUUUAACCAGAAAGUCACGGCUAACUACGUGCCAGCAGCCGCGGUAAUACGUAGGUGGCAAGCGUUAUCCGGAUUUAUUGGGCGUAAAGAGAGUGCAGGCGGUUUUCUAAGUCUGAUGUGAAAGCCUUCGGCUUAACCGGAGAAGUGCAUCGGAAACUGGAUAACUUGAGUGCAGAAGAGGGUAGUGGAACUCCAUGUGUAGCGGUAGAAUGCGUAGAUAUAUGGAAGAACACCAGUGGCGAAGGCGGCUACCUGGUCUGCAACUGACGCUGAGGCUCGAAAGCAUGGGUAGCGAACAGGAUUAGAUACCCUGGUAGGAUAGCG